AUGGCCGAGAUGAUUGUAGAUAUGAUUAAUGAAGACCCUAUAAUAUGUGUGAAACUUAUUGUGGCUUUCAUUAUCGGCUUCAUAUUAUGCCCGCGGACAUGUAAGACAUGUCCCUUGUGGGCGUUUAGAUAUGCGGAGCAGUUAUCAACUUUGCAUAAAUAUAAUUGGUGCCAUGCGGUGUUCACUCUUCUUUGCAAAGAGAUGAGUAAAUCAAAGAAGUCUCUUAGUAUGCGGGAAUUAGGUCAGCGCUCAAAUGCCGGGUACAUGGGUGGUUUUUCCUCCGUUUUACUGGUUUGGUUUUAUGAAAAAGUGGGGGAAUUAGAGUAUACUUCAGAUGUUGAAAGGUUACCGCUGCUCUUUUGUGUGAAGAGUACUGGAAAGUGGAGGAGGACUACUAUGAACAAAUUAUAUAGAGUCCCGAAGUUGGUUACGGAUAAUGGCUAAGAGAAUACUCCUCUUAUUCAUACGGCAUCGCCAAGAGUAUUUGAAUCAAGGAAAGCUGAAUUAAUUUUCUUAAUUGCGGAGAAGACGUACGAGUUGAAUGAGCUCACUACAGAAUUACGAGAAUUAGAAGAGCGUAGUGCUAGAUGCCAAAAAAAACCAAGGAGAAAGAGGAUGACGGAAAUGUAACUGAAGAAAAAAAAAUCAAAGAGGAUAUGGAAGCUAAGGAAUAUGAGAAUUUGGAAGGAACGGGGGAAGCCGAUUUAUGUGAUGACUUUGUGAUGAGCGCAAGAGACAUGAGAAUUUUAGAAGAUGCUCGAGAUGUUUCUCAAAAAGAUGAAGGUGGUAAUGAGAAUAACAGAGAAACGCCAUCUAUCAAACGGGCUGUCGGAAAGAGGGAGAG